CCUACGGGAGGCAGCAGUGGGGAAUAUUGGGCAAUGGGCGCAAGCCUGAACCAGCAACGCCGCGUGAAGGAAGAAGGCUCUCGGGUUGUAAACUUCUUUUAAGAGGGAAGUGACGAAGCCGGUACCUCUUGAAUAAGACACGGCUAACUACGUGCCAGCAGCCGCGGUAAUACGUAGGUGACAAGCGUUGUCCGGAUUUCCUGGGUGUAAAGGGUGUGCAGGCGGGAAGACAAGUCAGAUGUGAAAUCCCGCGGCUCAACCGCGGAACUGCAUUUGAAACUGGUUUUCUUGAGUACCGGGGAGGUCAUCGGAAUUCGUUGUGUAGCGGUGAAAGGCGUAGAUAUAAGGAAGAACACCAGUGGCGAAGGCGGAUGACUGGACGGCAACUGACGGUGAGGCGCGAAAGCGUGGGGAGCAAACAGGAUUAGAUACCCGUGUAGUC
rnacentral:rRNA from 1 species